UCCUCUUCCCAUUCAGAAACUCUUUGUUUCCUACGCCACACAGCCAGCCAAGAGCAACAGCUCCUUUCCUAAUUAUUUCUCCAUGGAGCUCUAUUUAAUCCAUCGAUCUCUUAAUAAUCCACCAUUAUAUUUUUCUCUGUUAUUCCCAUCUCCCUUCAAUCCAUUACCCAUAUCCUUUAUUUUCAGUUUCUAUCAUCUUUCUCAUAUCAGAUUCAUAUUAUAACCCUAAGUUUCAAUCUCACCCAAAAAGCUCACAAAUUGUCUUUGAGAUUGAUGGUGACCAAGAGGGGAGGAGCAUGAGAAACUGAAAAGAGGAAAUCAAGCAGCUAUUUGAUAAAGGGAAAGCUUCAGAUAUUUGCACAUUGUAAUGGGAUGGAUCUCUUAUUGGCUGCCUGUUUGGGAGGAAGAAGGCUACAGGAAGAUUUUGUACCCAUCCAAAUUUGCUGCAACCAUUUCAUAUGUUGUUUUCAAAGCUGAUUUUGCUAAACUCAUGUGAUGAAGCUUGAAGCCAGAAGCUAAUCUUAAGGGAAAGGGUUUAGUAUUUUGAACAAACACUUAGUUUUAAUGUAUCUUGACAUGUUCCCAUUAUUGGUUGUUGGAAUGUUGGUUUGUAAAUUUUUAAUUUCCUUCAUGAUAUUAAAUAUGUAAUCAGAAUUUUAUUGUUUUA